UCGACCGCUGACUACAACCUUGUUGCGCCGAUCCGUCAGACUGCCUCGAUUUUCAAGCAACCAGUCACACUCUACAAGGAUCAUAAAUCUAAGGUUAAAUCUGACUUGAAGACGGUUAAUAAGGAGAAGCCAAGCCAAUUGUUUUGGGC